GAUGAACGCUGGCGGCGUGCUUAACACAUGCAAGUCGAGCGAAGCGGUUUAAAUGAGACUUCGGUGGAUUUUAAAUUGACUGAGCGGCGGACGGGUGAGUAACGCGUGGAUAACCUGCCUCACACAGGGGGAUAACAGUUAGAAAUGACUGCUAAUACCGCAUAAGCGCACGGCAUCGCAUGAUGCAGUGUGAAAAACUCCGGUGGUGUGAGAUGGAUCCGCGUCUGAUUAGCCAGUUGGCGGGGUAACGGCCCACCAAGGCGACGAUCAGUAGCCGGCCUGAGAGGGUGAACGGCCACAUUGGGACUGAGACACGGGCCCAAAACUCCUAACGGGGAGGCAGCAGUGGGGAAUAUUGCACAAUGGGGGAAACCCUGAUGCAGCGACGCCGCGUGAGUGAUGAAGUAUUU
rnacentral:rRNA from 1 species